GCCCGGCUUAAUGGAUGAUAAACAAGAAGUUCUUCUGAUUGGGGGACUACCAGAUCGUGCCUCAUGACUAUGGAUCAUGCCAGUAGCAGCAGAGCGUAUCCACGGCUCCACUCCAAACCUUCACUAUUAAGUUGUAACUCAUAAGCUCUCUCUUCUAAAUCGGCCAUCUGGUGAUCCCCCAGUUCUUCUUUAUAUGAAUUAUAUAUAUAAGUCUCUCAGAUAACUUUGUAUGUGG
rnacentral:lncRNA from 1 species